rnacentral:rRNA from 1 species
AUGGAUUGCAACCUCCACAUCAUGUUCUGUAAUAUGUGACGACUAAACUGUCCGGCUAAGCGUAGCAUCAUCAGAUCUUUUAUCGCGCGUGUUUGCCCUACCAUGGUUUGCUUGCAGGAGACGAAGCUCAUAGAAGUCACCCCUUUCCUUGUCUCCGGCUCCCUCGGGCCCGAGUUCUCUACCUUCUUCCACCUGCCUGCCAAUGGCGCGCGAGGCAGCAUCAUUCUUGCUUGGCGACCUUCUGAGAUAUCUUUGUCUAACCCCUAUGUAGGGACCAACUUCUUCACUGCCUAUGCUACCUCCCCAGGCACUAACUCCCACUGGUGGAUCAUCGGCAUCUACGACCCCCAAGAUGAGCCUAAUAGGGCCUCCUUUCUCACUGACCUUCACGAAUUCCGCUCCUCGCGGAUCAGCCCCUAG